CUGCGUAUUUCAUACUCGCUCGCCGAGAUGGGUCGGUCCCAGACGGUGUCUGAACCGUCGCGGAAUUCCAAAGAGAGGAGAACGUUAGGAGUUCUAAGACCGGCUUCCCUUCUCCUUCUUCAUGAGAUGACGCAACACACCCGCGGCUUGUUUACUUACAUAUGUGUGUGUGUGUGCAAAGAUCGUCGCAAAAUUCCAGCGAGGGCUGGUCGAUGACGCAGAAUUUAUGCGUCAAGGAUCGUCGGAAAAAUCCUGACCGACGAGAAGAAUCGCAACAAAUGACGCAACCGACCCGCAUUCGCCUACCCAAAAUGCAACUUCAGGAGGCGCAGGAGAUGCAGAAGCGUGCGUCCGCACGAUGACGCACCAACACCAAGGACACCCCAAAGGAUCUUGUUGCACCGAUCAAGUUCACCAUAUUUAUACACUCUCGCGAACGAGGAGCACAGAUAAAAUCUUGUCGGCCCUGUUCCGGAUAUCAAACGCGACCUAAUCCACCGGAAGGGUCAUGCCUGUCUAGAUUCGUCUGCCCCAGUAACUCGCCACGUCGCAUCUGCAUCGUACCGCCAAUUCCUCAAAGACCACACUGGAAACCUUGUUGCAUCCGCAAAUACGGCUUUUAUUGCACCGCUCAUGCCUAUCCACGAAGAACUUUCCGCUCCAAUUACUUCGACUUGAUAUCUCAAUAUUGAAAACCUGAUGAGCCAUGAAGAACAUUGUCGGGCGUAACGUCCUAUUAUUUUUGGAAAUAUUGCUGCGCAUCGCGUUAGUCAUCAGUGGCAGAGGAUUAUUGAUUUUCGUGAAUUUUCUAUGACAAAAAUUCUUCUCGGGAAGAUAUUGAAAUAUGCAACUGUUGACUGCACUUUUGCAUCCUAAUACCGUGAAUUCAUAGAUAAAAAGC